rnacentral:rRNA from 1 species
UACGGGGGGGGGCAAGCGUUUGUUCGGAAUUACUGGGCGUAAAGGGCUCGUAGGUGGCCAACUAAGUCAGACGUGAAAUCCCUCGGCUUAACCGGGGGAACUGCGUCUGAUACUGGAUGGCUAGAGAUUGGGAGAGGGAUGCGGAAUUCCAGGUGUAGCGGUGAAAUGCGUAGAUAUCUGGAGGAACACCGGUGGCGAAGGCGGCAUCCUGGACCAACACUGACGCUGAGGAGCGAAAAGCCAGGGGGAGCAAAACGGGG